UUGCUUCAAGCUACCAUUAUUGUAAUACAAUCUGAACAUUGAAUCAUGUAGUAGUGGAAGGCAUAGGCUUGUCUUCGGGUGUGAAUGUAGAAGACGAAUCUGUGUUUGAUUGGGCUUCUAUGGUUCUCAGUGGUUUGUGGGAGGAGGAAGGGAGACAUGAUGUUCCUAGUGAGACGCAAAUGUAUUCGCAACUUGGACUAAUUGAAGAGAACGAGGCAGAGGAAAAUAGAAGGGAUGAAGCCUUACGAGGUGGUACAACUAAUUUUGAUGAAUCGGACCAUGUUGAUUCAGGAGACCAAAAUACAAACCAACCAUGUGAGGACUACCUACCGGACGAGAAGAGAGCUAAGUAUGAUAAAAUUAAUCCCUCAAUGCAGCCAGUUUGUUUCCGAACAUGAAGGAAUUUAGAAUUGCUAUGAGACAAUAUGCCAUAAAGCAUGAGUUUGAGCUUGGAAUCGAUGUGACUUCGACUACUCGAUAUGUUGGCUAUUGCAAAGCUGGUGAUUGUCCUUGGAGGAUCUAUGCACGGGAGGAAAAGAAAGGAUUACCUACCAUCGUGGUUGCUGUCUUGCAUGACGUUCAUACUUGCACAUCUAGUGGCAAGAGGAAGACGACAACACCAAGUAGUGGAUGGGUAGCAUUUCACGCUAUUCCACUACCAAUGAAGAAACCCCAAAUGGGUGCUAAGGAGUUGCAAGAUAUACUACAAGGAUUUCAUAAUAUCUGAAUUUUCUGGGAACCGAAGGAGACAAAUGGUUCCCAGUUUUGUUCCCAGAAUACAGUUUCAAUAGAGAAAAUAUAGCCUGAAGAACUAUUUGUCCACAAUAUAGCCUGAAAAUAACUGGGAACUUGCGCAGAAAACAUAGCCUGAAAAUAUAGCCAGAAAACAUGGGAACUUGCGCAGUAUUCCAUAAAGCAAGUACAUAGUCUUGACAUAAUUGUCUUACAUUAACCAUAAAGCAAGUACAUAGUUGUCUUACAUAAACACAACCACAUCACAUAGUGAGAUGUUACAAGUACGUAGUCUUGGCAUCACCAAAGUCUUCAUAACUGCUAACUAGUUCAUCUCAUGACACAAACUCGUUACAAGUUUAUCUCAUGACCACAAAAGAUACAACCACAUAAGAAACAUCUUGGCUACUUAAAUAGUACGAUCAAAUAUCUCGUCGUAGUCGUAGCCCAUAAUAUGACAGUGCUCGGCCAAUGAAACAACCACUUUAUUCUCCUCCCAUUUCAUGUCUUCAAACACCAUUUCCCACAGCUCCGGAUCUUCUGACACAUAUCCAUCCACUUGGUCCUCAACAUCAGAAAUGUCAGGGCCGUCUUCAACAUCCGAAGGGGGAUGAUGAAGGUCCCAACCAGGAGAUUUAUUCUCCAGAUCUUCUUCACAGACAAUACAAGUCUUCUCGAGGUUCUUGCAAAUAUCAUUCAAAUGGGCAGCAAGCUUUCCAACCUUAUCCCCUUCAACUUCAGGGAUACUACAACACAUCCUAUUCUUAUGUAACAGUGAAGAUUGCCUCCUCAUCUCUUGAAUGACAUAUCGCAGUGAGUUCUUGACGCUAACGUGAUACUUCAAAUCAACAUGUUCCUGUACAAAUAAACUAUUUGGUGAUCAGGUGGACGACUAAGUUCCCAUGUUUGUGAAGAACUAACCCUAAUUCGAAUGAACAGCAGCCCUAAAAUGAACAGCAGCCCUGAACCAUAUUAAAAAUGCGGCAAACGAAGAGAGAAACAAAAUCAGUCACCUUGGAGUUAUCUUCAACAAAGCUUCGAUACUUCACAGCUUCGACGGCAACCAAUGAAGAAACCCCAAAUGGGUGCUAAGGAGUUGCAAGAUAUACUACAAGGAUUUCAUAAUAUCUGAAUUUUCUGGGAACCGAAGGAGACAAAUGGUUCCCAGUUUUGUUCCCAGAAUACAGUUUCAAUAGAGAAAAUAUAGCCUGAAGAACUAUUUGUCCACAAUAUAGCCUGAAAAUAACUGGGAACUUGCGCAGAAAACAUAGCCUGAAAAUAUAGCCAGAAAACAUGGGAACUUGCGCAG